UCUGUGUAGCGCGGGUUGUAGUUCACAAACACAAAGCCACGGGCUUGGUCGAUUGUGUGAAAGAGUGGGUUCCAAUCGAACAUCGCCAACAUAAAGCUUGGCAACGUAUUGGCUACGAACAUCUUGCCUGAGGCGAUCAUGUUGGCACGGCUG
rnacentral:ncRNA from 1 species